GGGGGCAGCUGUUUGAUGUGCAGGAUCAUGAAGAGGAAUUGCUGUGAUGAAAAGCAAGUUUGGUGGGUCCCAGAUUUACUGGAGGAUUUUCCUUGUUAUCUCCUGCUGAACUGAGGACCUUGAAGAUGAAGUCAAGCAUGAGAUUUAACUGUACUGAUUUUGGCAGCCCUAGAGGGGCAGCACUAAAGGUGCUUUUCUUCGAGUUGCUCCAAGAUUUUUUUUCUCUGUCCCCAAGGAGAGUCCUGCAAAGGAGUGAGGGAGUUUGCCAGCCUGUUAACUUGGGGUACAGAGAGGAAAUUAAAAGCACAAAUUUCCCACUGUA